UGGACAUGCAACGAAAUAACUAGCAAAGAGACCUUGUUUCAACAUCAAAUAUGUUUCCGUAGGGCCAGAUUCUUGGGCAAAGUUGUUUUAGCGAUCUGGUUGCAACUAAGGUUCUUUAUUGGAGGAUGACCCAGCUGGCAUGUGUAUCAUUCUACUCUGUGUCCUGCUCCUUCUUCCUGCUUGGAAUGUGGACGUGUCUACAGCUAUAGCAUCACUGCUGCCUUCAUAUCUGGUAUGAGACAGAGUUUAUCAUUCCUACAGAUUGCCAUUUGCCAGCUGACCUGUGACACGGCAGCAGUGUAUUACAUUUUCAAUGAGCAGUCUGUCUGGAGCUGCUACUGGGAGAAACUGCUUCCUGGUUUCUAGGCCACCGAAGGAAGUCAGUGCCUAGGAUUCUGAGAUGCAGCCACACCAUAAAGUUUCAUUACUCAGUUGCAGUAGAGAAAGCCUCAAAGGAACCACUUCUAAUGGAAACUGCCUCAUUUCCUGGUCAAGUCUCACAGCGGAGGUGCUCUGAAGUAGGUGCUCUGAAGUGCUCUGAAGUGAAAAGUUCACUUCAUGAGAAGUUACAAACUAAUUGUAA
rnacentral:lncRNA from 1 species